AUGAGAUGGCUGUUCCUCCUCCGUCAGGUGCCUGCACAGGCUGGGCUUGGAGGAAGGUCCUGCCCUGCUCCUGACACUGUUUGCACACUCCCCACGUCUCCUGUGCCUCGUGCCAGCGUGACAAACAGCCCUUCCCAGGCUCUGCUUGGUGCCACGGAUGUGGGAGCGCCGAGAGAGCAUCAAUCCAUUGUGAGUCGCGCACACGCAGCAGAGAAAGAACAGAACCUACGGCAGCCUGUCAGCAGCAAGGAAUUUCAGCUGGAUGACUGCAUAAGGGGCAGAAAGCUUGGAACUAGAAGUACAGAAGACAUCAAGGCAGACCUCCUGCAAUCAAACCAGCACCUUCAGACAGUACCCUCCCGUGUGCUGGACCCGCCAGCCAUAUGCCGAGGAGACCAAGCUGUCAGCUCUGAGACAGCGCUGGGCGCAGCCCAUUGUGUCCGAGUCACUCUGCCUGCUCUGGGAGAGCUGCUCAGCAGCAGCAGUUCCUGCAGCCCCUUUGUCAGACGAGUGACGUGGCACGGAGCGGUUCUAGCAAACGAGGACUCUGCUGUGACAACUGACGCAGAGACUCUGCUUGGGUUUUUUAUUCUUACUGAGGCUAAAGGACCACAGGAACCAGGGAGGAUCUUCACUGCGGAGGGAAAAACCAACCUGGUCUGGGUGGUGUAGAGGGUGCUCUCCCUGACCCUUCUUCUGGAGACGAGGUGGCUGUCCCAGAAGAGGGUUGUCCCCUGGAGCUGUAACACAACACCGUGCAGCACCACCGGCCGGCCGGGCCUCACUUGGAAGCCACCCUGCUUGGUGGGUCUUACCCUGGGUCUGAGUGGGAACAAGAGGGAGUGAAUGAUCUGAGACACGUUCUCCUUGAUGGGUGGUACUGUGUGGUUACCACACAGCACGUCCUCCAGAAGAAAUCCAAAAUACAUCUUCCUGUACCGGCACAAAUCUGACUGUUCCCCUGAUAAACUGUUCACAUGGAAAGAUACAAUUUGCAUGGUUGUCAUCAAAGCAGCGUGUGGAUCCGUUUGUGGAAGCGUGUCAGACACCAUAUGUCAGUAAUAUGCCUUUGAUAUGUUGGUGUCUGAAUUGGUUUUUAACAGCUGAAUGACAUAUGUUUCAAUGUAAACAUCUGUUCUGUGUUGGUACUCUACUGCCUGUAUUUAUUUCUAUAUUUUCCCUUAACUAACAGUGUGAUUCAAGCCCAGUGUGGGAUUCAUCCUGUAUUUAAAGAAAGACAGUUUUUGUAGUAUUUCAGCAUGUGGCCAUAGAUGAGAAGGGCAUUUAAAAGAGAUCCUUUUCCCUUUUGGUAACCAGAAAAAACUCAGUUUCCAAGCAAAAUAAAAAUCUAAUGUGACAAGAAGUUUGUUAAAUG
rnacentral:lncRNA from 1 species